CCGUUUGGGUGGGGGCCUCGCAUCUGCAUCGGGCAAAUGUUCGCGAUGGUGGAGGCGAAGAUGGCGGUGUCGAUGAUUCUGCAACGCUUCUCGUUUGAGCUCUCGCCUUCGUAUACGCACGCUCCUUUCACCGUUGUUACUACUCAGCCUCAGCAUGGCGCUCACCUUACCUUGCACAAGCUCUAGCUUUGUUUUUUUUUUUUUUUUAACCGUCGUUUGUUAAUAAAGAUUUACUGCAUCCGUCGCUAAAGGUAUCAAAUUUGUCGGGUUGGGCCGUUCGGGCAUAUUAUUUGGGCUCAUUGGGCCAACUCAUGGACUAUGGUCGGGCCAGUUAAAAAGCUUAUAAAAACGUGGCAUAAGUUGAACUAAUGCUCAAAAUUAAAUUUAUAUAUUUAAAAAAUAAGUUUGGAGGAACGAUGUUAUAUUAUACAGGUAAAAUGCAAAAUAUAUUAUUCCAAAUUUUAUUUAUUUAUUUUUGAUAAAUUAUAUAAUUAAAUAAAUAAAUUUAAAAAACGCGCGAUAAAUGAUUCGAACUCAAGACCUCGAUGUGGUGAUCCAAACAUGUUAGGCCCUUCUGUUCUGUCGACCUCUAUUUUUAGUAUCAAACUCAUUCAUUACUGCCUUUACUAAAAAUGACAAUCAUAUCUUCUCAAAAGGAAAUAACAAAUACUAACAAUCAUAUCACAAAAGAUUUCAGCAUAUGGCAAUGAAAAGGAUGCCAACCUGCCAUAAAUGACAAGGCCGUUGUAACUCCUGCAGUUAAUUUUACUUUAUUUAUAUUUUGCUAAAUCAGUGAGAUUUGAGAAUUUUAAAAUUGAAUAGAAAAAUAUCCAAUCAUCUAUUUUAUCAAUCGUGAUAAGUAAACACGUCACAAGAUAUUUGGUUUGAUGGAUGAAAUAGAUAAAAUUAAUAUAUCAUAGAUAGAGAUUGAAGGAUGAUUAAAUAAUUAAUUUAAUUUUAAAGUGAUAAUAAUCAUUCAAUUGGACCAAAUUAUCCAUUACGUUGAAUCAUGCAACUCAAAAUUAAAUUGAAUUAUUUAUUAAUCAUUUCUUAUUAGGUAAAUAAAAUGCUUGUUUAAAAAAAAGUAUAGAAAAGGCAUUCUAAUUUUAUUUGAAGAUCGACAACAUUUUGCAAGGAUAACGUAAUGACCAAUGAGGCCCAGCUCAAACGACAAAGUUGGGGUACUCAAAGACUCUCGAUCUUGAAAAUUUAAGACCGAUGUCAUAGAAAUUUUAUCCAAAUUAUUAAUUCAUGACUUUUUAAAAAAUUUAAGAUGGAUGUCAUAAAUUUGAUCCAAAUUAUAAUUCAUGGCUUUUUAUAUAAAAGUAAUACUCUUUUCGUCCCAUUAAUAAUAUCCUAAUUACUAUAUUGCAACGUCCCAUUAGUAAUAUUUAUAUUCUUUUUAGUAAAAUUAAUAAAUAAGUACUUAAAAUUUUGUUAACAGUGAGCUCAUCUCAUUUAAUACAUCGGCUCAUUUAAAAUAAUCUUUAAAUAUUUUUCACCAAUUUUAUACACUAAUUACAUUUUUCUUAAUCUUCGUGCCUAAAAAUAAUGAGACAUUACCGGCUAAUGGGACAAAGGGGAGUAUUUAUUAAUAAAAGUGAUAAUUUUUAGUAUGAAUUAAAGUAACAUUGUAGUUUAAAGAAAGCCAAUAGUUCUAAUGCUAAAAUAUAGUUGUAAUAGCUAUAAAAGUGACAAUUCUUCUGAAUAAAGUGAGUUAUUCUAUGAAAAAUAACAAUGUUUCAAAAUAUUUUUAAAUUUUUAUGAUUAAAAAAGUGACAAUUAUUUUAAUGAUAUUAAGACUCUCUUCGUCCCAUUAAAAAUGACUCACUUCUUUUUUAUAUGGAGAUUAAAGAGAAGGAGUAAUUAGAUAAAUGUAGUAGGAUCCAUGUCUUUUAAAGAGUUAAAUACAUUUUUUAUGAAAAUCAGUCAUCUUUAGUGGGACGAUCCAAAAUAAAAAAAUGAAUUAUCUUUAAUGAGAAGAAGAGGAUAAUAUUGAACAAUACAAGUGAUAAUUUUGGUGUAUAAAAAUAAAUCGAUUAAAUCCGAAUAAAAUUUUGUAUCAGGUCGGACUUGAGCUCAAAAGGACCCACCACGCUCGCGGUUCUAGAAAAAGUUCAAAUUGCAAAAUUCGCAAUUUACCACACAAUUCAUAACAGUUACUUAUAUUGAGACGUACCAUUAAUAAUGUUUCGUACUAUUUUAAGUAUAAAAAAAUAAUUAUUUUAAAUAUUAUUAAUGGCGGGCUCAAUUUAUUUUAUAUACUAAUUUAUUUAAAAUAAUUUUAAAAUAUUUUUUAUCUACUUAUUUUAUAUAAUAAUUAUACUUUUUCUUAAUUUUCGUCAUUAAAAAGUAACGAGACAUUAUUAAUGGUCUCAUAAUUUUCGUUCAUGCGAUUCUAAAGCUAACCGUGUGACGUGUAUCGUAGAUGCCCAUACUUUAUUAUGACGUCGCAGUUUCUUCUUCGGCCACGAAAAUUCGAAAUCACAUAAUCCACUUUUUCCCAAAAAAAGCAGAACCUCACUAAGACACUACAUAUAGAAGUACUAGAAUUCUAGGAAUAGAAAGAGCUCAGUAACAGAUAUAUAGGCUACCGAUCAAAACGAAAAAUGGAAUCUGUGUAUCAAAUAUUUGCGUCUGCUUUGGCGCUUGCGGCGUUGAUAUACACAUGGAAAUUACUGAAUUGGGCCUACAUCACGCCCAAGAGGCUGGAAGAAGCCCUCAGGAAGCAGGGGUUCAAAGGUAAUUCCUACAAAUUGGUGUAUGGCGACUUGAAGGAACUGAUGCGGUUGGGCAUGGAAGCCAAGAGCAAGCCCAUCAAUCUUGAUGAUGAUAUCAAGAAUAGAGUUGCGCCCUUUAUCGUCAACGCUAUUCACAAACAUGGUAUGCUGAUUUUCUAGUUAUUUAUUAGAAUCUUGCUCUGAUUGGAUGUUGAGAUAGAGACAUGAGGGUUUGAUUAAUAUCUUUGAUUUCUAUGUCACCAUAUGUUGGAAAAAUGAAGUCUUGUAGCUUGAUUAGAAAUUAAUUGGUUAAAUUGUUUGAGAUAACUUGAUAUAGGAAGUGGAUAGGGUUGCAGUAUUACCAUGUGCAAUUCAAUGAUUUUCAGUGAGUUCAUGUCGAAUUUAGUUUUGUUAAGUGAUAAAUGAUGUCAAUUUUUGGGGGGUUGAAUGUAUCAUGAAUUUUAUGUGAUCAAUUUAGUUUGGUUAGUGAUAAUGAUGCAGUGAGUUCAUUGAGUGAGCUUUCUUCAAAUUUUGUUGAAUGUAUCAAUUGAUGAAUGCUCACUCUUGAAUUCAAUUUGCAGCAUCAUAAUGAAUUUCUUGUUUUCUUAUUUGGGUAAAUUCAUUUAUUAGGAAAUGAGUCGUUUAUUUGGUUUGGGCCAAGCCUUCCAUUAUCCUGAUGAUCCGGAGUAGUUAAGGAGGUGCUGACCAAGAGUUAUCUGUACCUAAGCCGAGAAAUGAAUCCGGAUUAAGCUGCUGGCACAAGGGCUUGCGAACUACGAGAAAGAUGAAUGGGCCAAGCACAGGAAAAUCAUCAACCCUGCUUUCCAUCUUGAGAAAUUGAAGGUUUUCUAUUGCAAAUUCUUGUUUUCUGUGUUCUUAUAGUUGCGAAAUUGAAGUGUUUUAGGCCAAAUUGAUCUCUCAUUUCAAGUUUAUGUGGUUGAGAAGCAAUUUUUUGAAGAUUCUGUUAUAGGAUAAUGUGUUGAGACAAGUAUGCUUUUAAUUUUCUUACUAUUGCUCGUGCGCAGCUCAUGAUUCCGGCCUUCUAUAUGAGUUGUGAUGAAGUUCUGAAAACGUGGGAAAAGAAUGUUUCAUCGGAAGGAUCUUAUGAGGUGGAUGUAUGGCCUUAUUUACAAAAUCUAACGAGUGAUGCAAUAUCAAGAACUGCAUUCGGUAGCAGCUACCAAGAAGGGAGGAGAAUAUUCGAGCUUCAAAGAGAACAGGUUGAGCACAUCAUCCAAGCUCUGCGCUCUAUAUAUGUUCCGGGAUGGAGGUAAUUACAUUAGGAAUCACAAAAACUAAAAUCUUUAAUGAAAAAGUUAGAUCCCAUCAAGAAAGAUAGUAGUUCUAUGUAGCUACAUAGAGUAAUCAGCUUCUUCAUUUUCGUGUGGGAUGUGUUUUCUCAAUGCUGUAGAUUCGUGCCCACAAAAGGACCGAGAAUGAAACAAUUGAAAGAGAAGUUCAGUCAACAAUUCGAGGCCUCAUUAGUAAAAGGAUCGAGGCUAUGAAGACGGGGAGCUAGACAUGAUGAGGACUUACUAAGUAUAUUGUUGGCGUCCAACUUCCUAGAAAUCGAGAAAGGUGGCAACGAGAGUUUCGGGAUGACCAUAGAUGCAGUAGUAGAGGAGUGCAAGCUGUUCUAUUUCUCUGGGCAGGAGACUACCUCCGUGUUGCUUGUUUGGACACUUGGUUUACUGAGUAGAUAUCCCGACUGGCAGACUCGAGCCAGGGAAGAGGUUAUGCAAGUCAUUGGUAACCGAACGCCAGAUUUUGAUAGCCUGAAUCAGCUCAAGAUUGUAAGUAGCUUCCUAUCAAACAUGUUAAUCUUAUUGAGUAAACUUACCAUGGUGAUCUUGAUUGCAGGUUACGAUGAUUUUGUAUGAGGUGCUGAGGCUUUAUCCGCCGGUGGUAGCUCUUGGCCGGAGAGCCAGUGAGGAAACCAAGUUGGGGAAAUAUACCUUACCAGCCGGAGUUCAGCUUUCACUGUCAACUAUUGUAUUACAUCACGACACGAAAAUUUGGGGAGACGAUGCGAUGGAGUUCAAUCCAUGGAGAUUCAGUGAAGGAGUGGCCAAGGCACAAAAGGGUCCAGGUAUAUUUUCCCUUUUGGCUGGGGACCUCGAAUAUGUAUAGGGCAAGUGUUUGCAAUGCUGGAGGCGAAAAUGGCGAUGGCCGUGCUUCUAAGAAGCUUCUCGUUCGAGCUUUCUCCGGCGUAUACGCAUGCGCCUCUCAAUUUGAUUACUACUCAACCUCAGCAUGGUGCUCACCUGCUCCUGCACAAGCUCUAGAUUUUCAGCGUUGUAUAGCUAUUAUUGUUAUAGUUGUUUCAUAAUUCUUCAACAUAUAGCUCUUCUUGAUGCAUAAUAUAUUGUAUAGCCCUUUUGAUAUUUGGACUUUAUAUUGCCAUAAAAACAAUAGUUAUAAGUAUUUUUAUAUAUUUUUUAUUAGAGUUCGUAGAGUUUGUCUUUACUAUAGCUAUGCAUGUUUAAUCUCCGUGCCCAAAAUAAUGGGACAUUUGUAAUGAGACGAAGGGAGUAUAAUAUAUGGAUGAUUUGGUGCAAAUCUAGUUUGUGUGCAAAAUGUAUUUAAACCAAAGUUUGUGAUCUUACAUGCAUUGCAUUUAAUCCUUUAAAUAAAACUAAUAGUUCUAAUGUACUAUAAAAGUGACAAUUCUUAUUAAUAAGAUGAUAGUUAUUCUUAAAAAAUUAACAAUAACUCAAAUAAUAAUAUCAUUUUUUUAUGAUUAAAGUGAUACUUACUGAUAUAAAAAGUGAUAAUUGUCGUAUAUAAAAAUAAAUAGAUUAAAAUUCAAAUAAAAUUUCAUAUCAGGUCUGACAGAAUCCACCACGCUCGCGGCUCUAGAAUAAACAAAAGAGCAAAAUUCGCAAUUUAUCACCAAUUCAUAAUAGUAUUCCAUAAUAAGAUUUAAUUUGUCAUUUUCAUUCGUUCGUAAAAGUAUAUCGUAACAUAUUUUUAGUAAUAUUUUAAUAAUAAUUUGAUUAAUUUGUAGACUUAUUUCUUCUACUUAUUGUACUUGUAUUAGUUUUUUUUUUUUUUUUCAUUUUCUAAGUUCGUGGUUCUUUUUCUCCAUUUUAUUAAAUAAAUAAAAUAUAGUUUUUUUUAACUAUUCGUCCCAUUCCAGAUUUUAUUUUUGUGAACGUCUUAUGCCUUAUCAUUUUCACGUGUGUCUCGUAGAAGCCCAUAAUUCGAAGCUUUUGAUUUUUCGCAAAAAAUUAUGAGUCGUUUUAUCCAUAUACUUCAAGAAACUCAGAAUCCCACCCACACAACAAUCAACAUAUACUUCAAAUAGUAAGAGCUCAGUUAGCCUACCGAUCAAAACGAAAAAUGGAAGCUCUGUGUCAAGUAUUUGCGUCUGCUUUGGCGCUUGGCGGCGUUGAUAUACACAUGGAAAUUACUGAGUUGGGCCUACAUCACGCCCAAGAGGCUGGGAGAAGCCCUCAGGAAGCAGGGGUUCAAAGGUAAUGCCUACAAAUUGGUGUAUGGCGACUUGAAGGAACUGACGCAGUUGAGCAUGGAAGCCAGGAGCAAGCCCAUCAAUCUUGAUGAUGAUAUCAAGAAUAGAGUUGCGCCCUUUAUCGUCAACACUAUUCACAAACAUGGUAUGCUGUAUUUCUUGUUAUUUAUUAGAAUCUUGCUCUGAUUGGAUGUUGAGGUAGAGACAUGAGGGUUUGAUUAAUAUCUUUGAUUUCUAUGUCACCAUAUGUUGGAAAAAUGAAGUCUUGUAGCAUGAUUAGAAACGAAUUGGUUAAAUUGUUUAAGAAUUUAAGAUGGGGAGUGGAUAUGGUUGCAGUAUUACCAUGUGCAAUUCAAUGAUUUUCAGUGAGUUCAUAUCAAAUUUAGUUUUGUUAAGUGAUAAAUGAUGUCAGUGAGUUCAUUGAGUGAGCUUUCUUCACAAUUUUGUUGAAUGUAUCAAUUGAUGAAUGCUCAGCUAUCUUGAAUUCAAUUUGCAGCAUCAAAAUGAAUUUCUUGUUUUCUUAUUUGGGUAAAUAUCGAUUUAUCUAGGAAAUGAGUCGUUUGUUUGGCUUGGGCCAAGGCCUUCCAUUAUCCUUACUGAUCCAGAGCUAGUUAAGGAGGUGCUGAGCAAGAGUUAUCUGUACCUGAGGCCGGAGAACAGGAAUCCGAUGACGAAGCUGCUGCUACAAGGACUUGCGAGCUAUGAGAAAGAUGAAUGGGCCAAGCACAGGAAAAUCAUCAACCCUGCUUUCCAUCUUGAGAAAUUGAAGGUUUUCUAUUGCAAAAUCUUGUUUUGUGUUUUCUUAUAGUUGAGAAAUUGAAGUGUUUUUGGCCAAAUUAGAAGCAAUUUUUUGAAGAUUCUGUUAUAGGAUAAUGUGUUGAGAUAAGCAUGCUUUUUUCUUACUAUUGCUCGGGCGCAGCUCAUGAUUCCGGCCUUCUAUAUGAGUUGUGAUGAAGUUCUGAAAACGUGGGAAAAGAAUGUUUCAUCGGAAGGAUCUUAUGAGGUGGAUGUAUGGCCUUAUUUACAAAAUCUAACGGGCGAUGCAAUAUCAAGAACUUCAUUCGGUAGCAGCUACCAAGAAGGGAGGAGAAUAUUCGAGCUUCAAAGAGAACAGGUUGAGCACAUCAUCCAAGCUCUGGGCUCUGCAUACGUUCCGGGAUUGAGGUAAUUAAUUACAUUACGAAUCACCAAAACUAAAAUCUUUACUGCAAAAGUUAGAUCCCAUCAAGAUAGUAGUUCUAUGUAGCUACAUAGUGUAAUGAGCUUCUCUAUUUUCGUGUGCGAUGUGUUUUCACAAUGCUGUAGAUUCUUGCCCACCAAAAGGAACAGGAGAAUGAAACAAAUUGAAAGAGAAGUUCAGUCAACAAUUCGAGGCCUCAUUAGUAAAAGGAUGGAGGCUAUGAAGACGAGGGAGGCUAGACAUGAUGAAGACUUACUAAGUAUAUUGUUGGCGUCCAACUUCCAAGAAAUCGAGGAAGGUGGUAACAAGAGUUUCGGGAUGACCAUAGAUGCAGUAGUAGAGGAGUGCAAGCUGUUCUAUUUCGCUGGGCAGGAGACUACCUCCGUGUUGCUUGUUUGGACACUGGUUUUACUGAGUAGAUAUCCCGACUGGCAGACACGAGCCAGGGAAGAGGUCAUGCAAGUCAUUGGUAACCGAACGCCAGAUUUUGAUGGCCUGAAUCAGCUCAAGAUUGUAAGUAGCUUCGUAUCAAACAUGUUAAUCUUAUUGAGUAAACUUACCAUGAUGAUCUUGAUUGCAGGUUACGAUGAUUUUGCACGAGGUGCUGAGGCUUUAUCCACCGGUAAUAGCUCUUGGUCGGAGAACCAGCGAGGAAACCAAGUUGGGGAAAUAUACCUUACCAGCCGGAGUUCAGCUUUCACUGCAAAUUAUUGUAUUGCAUCACGACACGAAAACUUGGGGAGACGAUGCGAUGGAGUUCAAUCCACAGAGAUUCAGUGAAGGAGUGGCCAAGGCGCAGAAGGGUCCAGGUUUAUUUUACCCUUUUGGCUGGGGACCUCGAAUAUGUAUAGGGCAAGUGUUUGCAAUACUGGAGGCGAAAAUGGCGAUGGCCGUGCUUCUAAGAAGCUUCUCGUUCGAGCUUUCUCCGGCAUAUACGCAUGCGCCUCUCAGUUUGAUUACUACUCAACCUCAGCAUGGUGCUCACCUGCUCCUGCACAAGCUCUAGAUUUUCAGUGUUGUAUAGCUAUUAUUGUUGUAGUUGUUUCAUAAUUAUAUUCUUCAACACAUAGCUCUUCUUGAUGCAUAAUAUAUUGUAUAGCCCUAAACCCAAAUCCUAAACCCUUUUGAUAUUUGGACAUUAUAUUGCAAUAAAAACAAUAAAA
rnacentral:lncRNA from 1 species